AACUCACUUAGUAGUAAACAUGACUUGGUUAAUAGCAAUAGAAAACCCCCAUUGUGUAACAAUGUAUUUAGUUAACAUAACUGAUCCAAUUGUUCCAUAGAAUAGAAUUAAGGGAUAUUCAUUCCCUAAAUCCCGAAAAUAAUCUAAAAGCAGUUAAACAUAUAUGGUUAUUAUUCUUGGAAUGUAUUCCAUAUUAAGUGAACGUGCUAUUAUUAUAUAUGCAGUGGGCAUACCAGAUAAAUUAGAUUUCUAGUAAUUUAACAUUUAGAUUGAUUGUGUUAGGUUUAGUUUGAGAGAUUUUUGUUGUUGCUGUUGUUGUAAGGACUCUGUAUUAUCCUUUGAUACACAUAUAAAUAUUAACUUAUGUUUAUUCCACUUAGAACUCCAAUACAGCCACAUGUGGCUGUAUCUAUUUAUUUAUUUAUUUAUUGCAGAAUUAAGCCUAUCUAGCUCAAGAAACAAAAUAAAUCUUAAGAAACCCAUGUAAAUUCAGAAAAUUUCAGUGAUUAAUUUAUUUUCUUUCACUAAAUUCUUUGUGUAGAGUCCAUAUUAUUUAUUGUGUAAACAGUAUCCAAGAUAGUAUAUAAUUAGAAUUGAGUAUAGCUGGUCAAAACACUCUUCAUUAAACCCCACUUCUAACGCAUUUUUCAUAUGAAAAACCCAUAUUCACUUAAUAUAUAUAUAUGUAUAGGAAGUUAGAGUUAGAAAACAACACAGGAUAGAGUUAAGCUUAGUGUACACAAAUACUGAGCAAGCUCAUUGUUUCUUUGUUUUUGCAUUUAUAUCAGUCCUUGCUAUAUUUAGUAGUGACAUUUAAUGUUUGUAUUAACAAUAUUGUUUCUGGCCAUGCAGUUGCCCUGAGGAGGAUGAGGAAACAGGGACAAAUCGCUCUCAUCUUCCCCAGACAAGUGACCUGAAACAUUAUUUUUAUUGGGAUGGAUUCAAGAUUGUUCUCAACCUCAUAAGAAUUGCCAUGUUCCACUCCAAGUUAUGGAUCUACAUUCUUUCUUCUCAUUUAUUUAACUUUUUUGUAAGGUCCAUUGAAUACCCCUUUCUUAUUUUCCUGUGGGUGUUUAUUUAAUACUGACGACAUAGUUUUCCUUAUUCUCCAUCAAGGAAUAAAUAAACUCCAUCUGUCUAGAUGCAGAGAAAGUGGGUGGCAUUGAAGUAACUGAAUCCUUAACUCUUAGAGUUGUAAUGGAUGUACAUUGAGUUGUAAUUAAUGUACAACUUCAGGAAAAUACAAAUUUUCUGGUAAAACAACUCCCAAAGAACUAGUCUCUAAAAUUGUAGUGACAUAAAAACAAAAGAGUGUGAGGGACCAAAUACUAAAGAAUUACUAUUAGGACUAAAUUACUGAUUUCACUGUAAUUAUAGUUAAUAAUCAAGUUCUCAGAUCUUCCAUGGGACAAUUGGUCUAUUUUGUUAGAUACUACACAGGGUUUGGAUAUUUCAACUCUGUCUGUCCUAGAAGCACAGUUCACAUUCCACUUGAAUGCAGCAAUGUUCUUACUGAAUAUUUUCUACUCCAUAUAUCAGUCUUCUCAAAUUUAGCUAUGUCUUGUUUAUUAUUUAACAAUUACCACUUAAAAAUCUUUUGUCUUAUUUCAGUUUCACUACCUUAUCUUCCUUACAUUAUUUUCAGAUAUGCACUAAAACAUUCACCAUCUUUUAAUGUUCUUAAUAGUUUCUUAAAAGUAUUUCCACUUUUUCAGUCUUCAUUUAUCAUGUUUUUGGUUAUACCAUACUUCUAUGGGAAUAUAUAUCAUCCCAUUUCACUUUUGUCAUUAAUACUUAAAAAUCCAAUUCAUUUUAUUGUAAUUUAAAUGAUCAUGUUGGUAACACACUAUAGAAUGAAGAAGAGAUGAAUUAUGGGGAAACAGUGCAUGGUUUGAAAUGUGAAUUAGGGACUCAAUCUAAUAGUCUCUGCAUGUGAGUGUCCAUGUGUGUGUUGGAGAAAGAAGGGGCAUUCAAAAGAGGUUUAGUUUAUAAGACUUAAGUACUUUCAUGUUUUAAGAAGACACUAAAUGGUAAAAAGUGAAAUACUCAGAUUUGAUACUUUGCUGUUUUUGUUAUAAUGGUUGAUGCUGGAUGGCAAAAUUUUGCUGAGUUUCUUUAUGGGUUGGAAAGCCAGUGGAAUGAAUUUGGCUUUGGAAGCACUUAGAUAUCUGGGGAUAUUCAGAAACACUUUGUAUGCAGAUUCAUUUAUCAAGAUGUAAUUUUUGGUUUGCCAUAUAUCAUGUGAAAACAUCAUAUUUAUAUAGUACCUAAUGUGUGAAUGAAUCAUGUGACAUGGAAAUAUUUCAAGGAGAUGAGAAGAAAAAAACAUGAAUACUAGAGAAAUCUACUGUGGAAAAUGGGCAUUGAGGUGGAAUGAAGUAUUUCUACCUAAUAAGGCUAUAUCUCACCACAAAGCAAUCCAUAUAUAAGAACAAUAUUCUACAUUAGGUUACACAUAUCCAGUUUUAAGCAAAUCAAUAAUUAGUGUCUGAAUCAUAAUGUUUUAAAGUAGCAGUUAUGAUCCAUUAACUAUUAUUCUGUAAUUGCUUGCAGGGAUUCUCAGAGAUCCACAAUCUUGAUCUUCAUUCCUGGAGACUUCUAUUUUAAAUACCAUAAAAAGCACUUUAUGGUGAUUAUCUGCAUUUCUUGAACAGUUCUGCAAUGAACAUGGAUGUUCUGAAUCUACUUCCAGUUACCACUUUAUUCUUCUUUGCUGGAUACAUGCUAGGCCUGACUAUGUUUCCUGGGGCCAUCUCUUGAAGAGGAUUUUCUUUUGCCAUUUGGUGUAGUUAGCACAAGACCAAUACAUUUGAUCCUACAGGAUUUCUCUGUGUAGUCCUUGCUGUCUUGGAACUCUGUAGACCAGUGCAAAAGAAACUGCUGACCAACAUACCUAAGCCACAGUAGCUCUGUACCCGGUGCCCAGACCAGUCUGCAUGAGCAUGCACUUGUGCAGCAGGCACUUCCUUCCUGGGCCAAGCCUGCCUCUAUGCCCAGAGACUGCUGAUCAUGGAUAGCAAUGACAAAAGGACAACACAACAGAGUCAGCCACCUGAGACACUGGGACCUUGGGAGGGAGUAUAAAGGCAGGCCUAACUUCUUUAAUAAAUGAGUCUGUGUCGGCAGCAUGCUCUACUAUCA